UGCAUCUGAAGCCUGACGAGGAUGAGAACCUCCGGAGGGCAAGAGGUUCGACCCGAGCGAAGCGAGAGAACGUUGCGUCAGCAACGGCCCGCAGGGCGAGCCACGCA
rnacentral:sRNA from 1 species